GCACGGGUUAGGGAGUGGUCAAACCUAGCAGGCUUAGGACCUGCCCGCUUAGUGCGUUCGACGGUUCGAGUCCGUCCCCGUGCAC
rnacentral:tRNA from 1 species